ensembl:lncRNA
CCUAAUCCUCUCUCCUCCUGACCGCCCUCCCGCACCAUCCCCGCCCUGCAUGUGGGUCUCACUUCCAGAGGCAGCUGCCUCACGUUCAGCUCCUGACACCUUCAGAAACUCUGCUAAUAAAUGCAGAUCGGAAAGCAUUCGGCCCAGGGGGACCAAUUUCUUUUUCCAUCACCUGUGGCUUCUCAACGUGAAAUUAAAAGUCAGCAGCAAGUAAUUGCAGCUGGCGGCAGCUCCCAGGGUUCAGUGGCUGCCAGGGGACCAGGUCUGUGUGCUGCCUGCCCUCUGUCCCUCCCACCUCCCAUCCUGAGAUUGAGCAAACUACGCGAUUCUUGGCUUUUUCACAAAAAUGAGACCCACGGCACUGUCAGCAAGAGGCUAGGUCACUUCAGCAAUUGUCACUGCAUCUCUGACUGCCCCGUCAUCUCAGAGCUAUCCUGAGACCAUGUGCAGACUGGCCAUUGUAAGCACUGGGACAGAGCAGGAGGCCAGAGCAGCCUGGGCGGUGGGGCUGAGUGAGGGGGCACUGGGAAGCCGGGAUCCUUUGAACUGCAGGCUCUGUCAUCCUCAGCGUCACCGGACGGCCACCAGCGGCCAGACGUCUCUUCUGCAUUCAGAACGGAGCGUUUAUGGACAGCAGGUGGUGGCGGAUUUGCUCUGAAUGUGGCUUGUCCUUCCUGUGAGCUGCUGACCCGACUUGGGGAGGGGGCGCGGACUAAAGCAGCAGAUGCAGGGGGUACUUUCUGACUGCAAGGUGAAGAGGACUCGUAACUGGCAGAGGCUGCAUAGAAGAGGAGCAG